rnacentral:rRNA from 1 species
GAUGAACGCUGGCGGCGUGCCUAAUACAUGCAAGUCGAGCGAACGGACGAGAAGCUUGCUUCUCUGAUGUUAGCGGCGGACGGGUGAGUAACACGUGGAUAACCUACCUAUAAGACUGGGAUAACUUCGGGAAACCGGAGCUAAUACCGGAUGAUAUUUUGAACCGCAUGGUUCAAAAGUGAAAGACGGUCUUGCUGUCACUUAUAGAUGGAUCCGCGCUGCAUUAGCUAGUUGGUAAGGUAACGGCUUACCAAGGCAACGAUGCAUAGCCGACCUGAGAGGGUGAUCGGCCACACUGGAACUGAGACACGGUCCAGACUCCUACGGGAGGCAGCAGUAGGGAAUCUUCCGCAAUGGGCGAAAGCCUGACGGAGCAACGCCGCGUGAGUGAUGAAGGUCUUCGGAUCGUAAAACUCUGUUAUUAGGGAAGAACAUAUGUGUAAGUAACUGUGCACAUCUUGACGGUACCUAAUCAGAAAGCCACGGCUAACUACGUGCCAGCAGCCGCGGUAAUACGUAGGUGGCAAGCGUUAUCCGGAAUUAUUGGGCGUAAAGCGCGCGUAGGCGGUUUUUUAAGUCUGAUGUGAAAGCCCACGGCUCAACCGUGGAGGGUCAUUGGAAACUGGAAAACUUGAGUGCAGAAGAGGAAAGUGGAAUUCCAUGUGUAGCGGUGAAAUGCGCAGAGAUAUGGAGGAACACCAGUGGCGAAGGCGACUUUCUGGUCUGUAACUGACGCUGAUGUGCGAAAGCGUGGGGAUCAAACAGGAUUAGAUACCCUGGUAGUCCACGCCGUAAACGAUGUGUGCUAAGUGUUAGGGGGUUUCCGCCCCUUAGUGCUGCAGCUAACGCAUUAAGCACUCCGCCUGGGGAGUACGACCGCAAGGUUGAAACUCAAAGGAAUUGACGGGGACCCGCACAAGCGGUGGAGCAUGUGGUUUAAUUCGAAGCAACGCGAAGAACCUUACCAAAUCUUGACAUCCUUUGACAACUCUAGAGAUAGAGCCUUCCCCUUCGGGGGACAAAGUGACAGGUGGUGCAUGGUUGUCGUCAGCUCGUGUCGUGAGAUGUUGGGUUUAGUCCCGCAACGAGCGCAACCCUUAAGCUUAGUUGCCAUCAUUAAGCUGGGCACUCUAAGUUGACUGCCGGUGACAAACCGGAGGAAGGUGGGGAUGACGUCAAAUCAUCAUGCCCCUUAUGAUUUGGGCUACACACGUGCUACAAUGGACAAUACAAAGGGCAGCGAAACCGCGAGGUCAAGCAAAUCCCAUAAAGUUGUUCUCAGUUCGGAUUGUAGUCUGCAACUCGACUACAUGAAGCUGGAAUCGCUAGUAAUCGUAGAUCAGCAUGCUACGGUGAAUACGUUCCCGGGUCU